UCCGAAUUGGUGUAGUGGCUAACAUUUGACGCUCUCAAAUGAUUUAACAAUCGCGGAACCGUCAAGCCCGGGGUUCGAUUCCCCGAUUCGGAG